CAAAUGUAUAUAUAUUUCCACAAUAGUAGCUUGAAAAGUUACAAAAAUCCACGUAAUGUGCAGGCAAAUGUCUAAUUUAAGUAUAAUUGAUAAGAGAAUAUGUUUAUCGACAUACAACUUCAGUAAUUGUUUCCUCAUCCACAGAACAAAAUCUUUCUUUUGGUUGUACUGAGCUAGAACUAAUAAUACUAGACUUUCUGAAAGUGAAUGCAGGCUGGUUAGGAGAAGGAAGGCUAAUUUCGCUAGUUAACAUUAGAACAACAGCUGACAUGGUCGGUCUUUCCAAUACAUCUUCUUGCACGCAUAAGAGCCCAAUUUGGAUGCAUCUCAAUACUUCAGGAGAACAAGAAUCCUUUAGUGACGAAUCAACUAUCUCCCAUGUUCUGUCUUCUCUCCAUAAAUGCCAUAUCUAUAACAUCUCAUCAUUAGAUGAACCCAUAAACAAAUUAUUACAAUUCGGAAAAUAAUUAGUUACUAUAAGUAUCUUCAAGGGUAAAAUAUUUUUAUGCUCACUGAAUUUUACAAGGAUUUCUUUAUUGUGGUCAUAAAAAUUCAAUUUUUCAUAAUUUGAUCACUAGUUUUAUUUAUUUAUUUUUCUUUCAACUAGUGCAUGCUGACUUGACAGUGGUGAUUUUGGUAAGAAUUUCAUUGGACAUCUAAGAUGAUAUACAAGUCAAGAUAGAUACUAAAAAUGAGGUCUAGAUCAAAAAUCAAAUUGAAGAAGCCUUACAAAACCAGCCUCAAAUUGAAUGCCAUGUCAGAUUUCUGGUGGUUUCCCACUGAAGUCAGGAAACUAAUUGCAACAAAAUCGAAUUUCAGUUACUAAAUUGCAACAAGUUCUAGUUUUAUGACCACAAAGAAAAUCAAUGUAAAAUUCAAUGAUGAUUAAUAUAAUUUACCCAUAUCUUUUUAACUUACUUUUCCUAUCAUGCUUGGGUAAAAAUCCUCUUGAUAAAAGCUAUUGUUCCUUUUCCCUGUAAUAAUCUCUAAUAAUAUGAUGCCAAAACUAAAGACAUCAGAUUUCAUUGAAAACUUUCCAAAUACCACAUAUUUUGGAGACAUGUACCCACUGCAUAUGAAAAACACAAAAAAAUAGUUAUGAUGCUCCGUUCAAAUUACUUAAUGUAAGAAAGAAAGGCAUUCUUAGCAGUGCUUCUUUAUGUCUAGCUGCUGGAUGUGUAGGUAUACUUACAAUGUUCCAACUAUUUUGUUUGUCUUUUCAUGAGUUUGGUCGCCUUUGAAGAUUCUAGCUAGGCCAAAAUCCGAAAUUUUUGGAUUCAUUUCUUCA
rnacentral:misc_RNA from 1 species